UACAGAGGGGGCAAGCGUUGUUCGGAAUUACUGGGCGUAAAGGGCGCGUAGGCGGCCUUCUAAGUCGAACGUGAAAUCCCUGGGCUCAACCCAGGAACUGCGUCCGAUACUGGAAGGCUUGAAUCCGGGAGAGGGAUGCGGAAUUCCAGGUGUAGCGGUGAAAUGCGUAGAUAUCUGGAGGAACACCGGUGGCGAAGGCGGCACCCUGGACCGGCAUUGACGCUGAGGCGCGAAAGCCAGGGGAGCGAACGGG
rnacentral:rRNA from 1 species